GAGUUUGAUCAUGGCUCAGAUUGAACGCUGGCGGCAUGCCUUACACAUGCAAGUCGAACGGCAGCAUGGUCUAGCUUGCUAGAUUGAUGGCGAGUGGCGAACGGGUGAGUAAUACAUCGGAACCGUGGCCCUGUAGUGGGGGAUAACUAGUCGAAAGAUUAGCUAAUACCGCAUACGACCUGAGGGUGAAAGUGGGGGACCGCAAGGCCGUCAUGCUAUAGGAGCGGCCGAUGUCUGAUUAGCUAGUUGGUGGGGUAAAGGCCCGACCAAGGCGACGAUCAGUAGCUGGUCUGAGA
rnacentral:rRNA from 1 species